rnacentral:tRNA from 1 species
UAUAGCUCAACGGUAGAGCAGCGGUUUCGUAAACCGUCGAUGGUAGUCCAAUUCUACCUAUCGGCU